rnacentral:precursor_RNA from 14 species
AUGAUCUGUGUGCUGUUGCCAGCAGUCCUUUAGCAGCACGUAAAUAUUGGUGUUAAAAUGGUCCCAAUAUUAACUGUGCUGCUAGAGUAAGGUUGGCCUGUCUCAGGAAUCCCAAG